GAUGAACGCUGGCGGCGUGCCUAAUACAUGCAAGUCGAGCGAACAGACGAUGAGCUUGCUCCUCUGACGUUAGCGGCGGACGGGUGAGUAACACGUGUAUAACCUACUUAUAUUACUGGGAUAAUUUCGGGAAACCGGAGCUAAUACCAUAUAAUAUCUUGAACCGCAGGGUUCAAUAGUGAAAGACGGCUUUGCUGUCUCUUAUAGCUGGAUCCGCGCCGCAUUAGCUAGUUGGUAAGGUAACGGCUUACCAAGGCGACGAUGCGUAGCCGAACUGAGAGGGUGAUCGGCCACACUGGAACUGAGACACGGUCCAGACUCCUACGGGAGGCAGCAGUAGGGAAUCUUCCGCAAUGGGCGAAAGCCUGACGGAGCAACGCCGCGUGAGUGAUGAAGGUCUUCGGAUCGUAAAACUCUGUUAUUAGGGAAGAACAAAUGUGUAAGUAACUAUGCACGUCUUGACGGUAACUAAUCAGAAAGCAACGGCUAACUACGUG
rnacentral:rRNA from 1 species